rnacentral:lncRNA from 1 species
AUGGACCACCGGCCUGCUCCGACACACGCUCACACACAGCCUACCGCACACGCUCCAUGUCCUGCAUCUCAUAUCUCAACAGGUCCAACAAGAGCUCAGGAAACCCCUGGCUACCCUAGCUGGAGCAUACCACGAUGUGACAGGGGUGCGUUUGGACAUGGCGUGGCAGCAAGGAGUGCAGCUGUGGACCAGAGAACUGACGGAGCUUUUGCCUGCAAUACUUCACGAUCCUCAACUGAGGGCGCCAUCGCUGACCGCUUUGCAUGUUGCCAUUUUUGCAAUAGACAUGGCAAGAAAGAUGCAUUUCUCUGUUUUCCUGUCAUUACAGGGGGCGUUUACGCUUCACCAUUUUCAACUAAAAACAGAAAACUUUUUAUGCAUUAAUUUACACAACAACAGCAUUUUGAGAGCCUGAAAAAGCAAACUUUUGAAAACAUGCCAAGUUUUGGAAAACAAUACUCUGUGUAAACUACAAAAUGCAAACUGGCAUCAUGCGAAUGUGUAUUACGUGUUCAGUCUAUAGGCAUGACUAAGUGACAUCGCCAACUACUGGCCUAGCAUGCAUAACAGAGCAUUCUUAGUAGUUUUCGUUUUCAGUUCAUCAUAGUUAUGUAAAUGUACCCCUGGACUGUUGAUUGAGCAGGAUAGAGUUAUUAAGAGUAUGUCUGUCACGUUCUUCAGGUGGGCCAGCAGACCUUUCAGUGGAUGGAGGCCCGAUCGGCUGCCAUGCUAGUGGGUAUCAGAAGGCAGCUAGCAAUAAUGUAUAAGUUCUCCAAAAGGUAUGUAGUAAAUCUGUCAGAAACAUGGCCCAUAAGUGCUUGUUGCAUCUGAACACAGCACAGGUGCUGUUCACUGAAAUUGGUCAGUGUGUUUGGGGUGCCAGCAUCUGCACUUACUCUAUGUCAGCCCCUUGGCUUAGAGUAUUAGUAUACUGUUAGGUUAGAAUAAAUUGACGUGCUUGCAAAGUUAUUUAUAGUCAGGAAGAAUGUCUGUUGGGGGACCAUCACAUUAAAGUGGUUAAAAAAAUCCUCCUUGAGCGCAGUCAUUCUCAACCAAAGCCCUGCAUCGUUGACAGAAAUAUUCAAAUGACCCUUUAAUACUUUUACUGUUAUUUCUUUAGAAAAAAAAAAACAACAACUGCAAAACUGCUUAUUUAAAACCUAUGACUAAGAACACAGGCAAAACCAGAACAAAGAAAACCAAAAGGCAAAGAAACUAAACAGAUAGAGACCGUGACAUAGUUCAGGUUUUGAAAAAGUAUGUAGUGUGACUCCCCAAACACAUGAUAUUUAUGAAUUAAUUUCAUGAAAUGUGUUGUCACAUGAUAACAGACUAUCAUAAAUACACCAUCUACUGAUCAUAACAAUCACUGCACUCCAAAAAACAAGUUUUGAAUUUUACGUUUGGUCUUUACCACCUGGAUGUUGCAAGCAGUGGAGCAAUGUUCUGUGGGCAAGUGAGACAAAGUUUUAUCUGUUUACUAAAUAUGCACAGUGGGAUGUUUUGUUUAAAAUUGAGCAUACCAACACUAAAACCCCCUCCCCAACUGUGAAGCAUAUGUCUGGAGAGGGAUGUGGAGCUGAUCUGAUGCCUGAGGGUUUAGACUGCUACAGUCAUUGAGGGACCAAUGAAUUUUACAUUGUACAGCACAUUGUCAAGACAUGAUCUAAAACUCAUGCGGUUUGACUACAAUCCAAAACCAAAAGUAAAUCAACAACAUAAUUAACAAAUUGCAUAAAUUAAAAUAGCCAAAUUCUGAGCUCAAUUUGAUUUAAGUGCUGCGGUGUGAUCUGGAACAGAAUGUUCAAGAAGCAUCCCAACAAUACACAUCAGCUGAAACGAUUGGGCCAUUCAACACACCUUCAGCUCAUUAUUUACUCAACCUUGUGUGGUUCCAAACCUGUAUGAUUUUCUUUCGCCUGGUUUUUUAUGUGCAUUUAUCUCAAAUGCAAGGAGACGUGAAAGAGGAAUCCGCACACUGCCUGAAACAUAUUUCUGUGCGUUUGCGUGCUUUGGGUGGUUCUUCUUCAUUUGAAUGUGUAAAUUGGCAAACUAAUCUGCAAAUCUAAUCCCUGCCGAACUGUGGGUGACUGAUCAGAACAAUCUUUCAUUUACGAUUUUACAUUUAAUUUACAUUAAAUCGUCAAAUUGCUACUCCAACAAUCGCAUACAACAAAAAUACAGAAUAAUUAGAACAAUCAUUAACAUGCAAUCAACAGCAGAGUGUCAUAAACAGAUUUUUCGCAGAACGUUCUUGCAACCUGGUAGCAAUGCUUCCAAGGCCCGGUACUGGGUCGCGGUGGUUGGGGACCUCUGAGAUGUGGCCCUCAGCACACAUGCAGUACAUCACAAAAGUUUUCCAUAUUCCAAAGCACAUUAUCUUGCAAACAAUUUUCAAAAAAUGCACUAAACUAAAAAAACACUAAAUAUACAUUUGGAGCAUUUUAGUCUGUUAAAACUGUUUAUAAGUGCUUGUACUGUUCUGUUUAGUUUUAUUAUUGAUACUGUAUGAUGCUUUCAACUGAGCACUGAAUCUAGUGUUUCUGAGUCAUAAGUGACCCCCCCCACACACACACACAUGCUCCAGAAGGAACAGAUGCCUAGUGUUUCUGAGUCAUAAGUGACCCCCCCACACACACACACACAUGCUCCAGAAGGAAACAAGAUGCAUUAAAAGCAGGGGGAAACUUUUGAGCAUGAUGAAGAUGUGUAAAUUUUCCUUAUUUUGCUACAGAACAUGUUUCCAAGCAGACAAGAUAAAUACAGUUUACCCUGAUCUUCAAAUUCAAAAAGUAUCUUAGAACAACAUGUUUUCUUCUUGAGCAUCAGUGAUUGUUUGAACCUUUUGUUAUAGUUGUGUAUGAGUCCCUCAGUUGUCAUCAGUUUGAAAAGAUGGAUCUUAAAAAUCAUACAGUCACUGCUGGA